GAUGAAGAACGCAGCGAAAUGCGAUAAGUAAUGUGAAUUGCAGAACUCAGUGAAUCAUCGAAUCUUUGAACGCACAUUGCGCCCGCCAGUAUUCUGGCGGGCAUGCCUGUUCGAGCGUCAUUUCAACCCUCAAGCCCUCGGGUUUGGUGUUGGGGAUCGGCGAGCCUUUCUGGCAAGCCGGCCCCGAAAUCUAGUGGCGGUCUCGCUGCAGCCUCCAUUGCGUAGUAAUAAAACCCUCGCAACUGGAACGCGGCGCGGCCAAGCCGUUAAACCCCCAACUUCUGAAUGUUGACCUCGGAUCAGGUAGGAAUACCCGCUGAACUUAAGCAUAUCAAUAAGCGGAGGA
rnacentral:misc_RNA from 1 species